AACCCCCCAAACCUUUUUGGGAACCAUCAAACUGCUACUAGUAUUAACGUUAAAGACAAAUUCCUAGAGCAGAAGCUAAGGGUGAAGGCGAAUUCUGAGAAGAAGUGCGUGGGUAGAGAGAGAGAGAGAGAGAGAGAGAGAGAGAGAGAGAGAGAGAGAGAUGGGGAAGAGGACGAGAUGCGGCGGGAGCAGCAGGACAAACGGCGGCGGCGGCGACCCUGCUCGCUCGCUGCGGAAUGGAUGGGGGGAUCGGCGUAGGCUGCGGGUGGCGGGAGGACGUGCUCACCAGGGUGAUGGAUGCGGCGGAAGCAGCAGGACGAACGACGGCCGCCCUGCUCGCUCGCGGGAUAGAUGGGGAUCGGCGGAG
rnacentral:lncRNA from 1 species